rnacentral:rRNA from 1 species
UCGAUGUCUAGGGGCUCUGAGAGGAUUGUCCCCCACACUGGUACUGAGACACGGACCAGACUCCUACGGGAGGCAGCAGUAAGGAAUAUUGGUCAAUGGACGAAAGUCUGAACCAGCCAUGCCGCGUGCAGGAUGACGGCCCUAUUGGUUGUAAACUGCUUUUAUACGGGAAGAAUCCCCUGUACGUGUACAGGGUUGACGGUACCGUACGAAUAAGGAUCGGCUAACUCCGUGCCAGCAGCCGCGGUAAUACGGAGGAUCCAAGCGUUAUCCGGAUUUAUUGGGUUUAAAGGGUGCGUAGGCGGAAUGAUAAGUUAGUGGUGAAAUCCCUCGGCUCAACCGGGGCACUGCCAUUAAAACUGUCAUUCUUGAGUAUAGUUGAAGUGGGCGGAAUGUAUCAUGUAGCGGUGAAAUGCUUAGAUAUGAUACAGAACACCGAUAGCGUAGGCAGCUUGCUAAACUAUAACUGACGCUCAGGCACGAAAGCGUGGGGAGCAAACAGGAUUAGAUACCCUGGUAGUCCACGCCGUAAACGAUGAUCACUCGCUGUUGGCGAUACACAGUCAGCGGCUUAGGGAAACCAUUAAGUGAUCCACCUGGGGAGUACGGUCGCAAGAUUGAAACUCAAAGGAAUUGACGGGGGCCCGCACAAGCGGAGGAGCAUGUGGUUUAAUUCGAUGAUACGCGAGGAACCUUACCUGGGCUUAAAUGUAAGACGACAGUCCCCGAAAGGGGACUUUCCUUCGGGACGUCCUACAAGGUGCUGCAUGGUUGUCGUCAGCUCGUGCCGUGAGGUGUCGGGUUAAGUCCCAUAACGAGCGCAACCCCUAUCCUUAGUUGCCAUCAGAUAAUGCUGGGGACUCUAAGGAAACUGCCUACGCAAGUAGUGAGGAAGGUGGGGAUGACGUCAAAUCAGCACGGCCCUUAUGUCCAGGGCUACACACGUGCUACAAUGGCCGGUACAGAGGGCAGCUACCUGGUGACAGGAUGCUAAUCUCGAAAGCCGGUCUCAGUUCGGAUCGAAGUCUGCAACUCGACUUCGUGAAGUCGGAUUCGCUAGUAAUCGCACAUCAGCCAUGGCGCGGUGAAUACGUUCCCGGGCCUUGUACACACCGCCCGUCAAGCCAUGGAAGCUGGGGGUACCUAAAGUCCGUAACCGCAAGGAGCGGCCUAGGGUAAAACUAGUAACUGGGGCUAAGUCGUAACAAGGUA